GGGCAUAAAUUCAUUCUGAAGGGAAGGCAGGAGAAAUAAAGGAACGUAAUAGCUGAGCGAGAUUUGUCUCAUGUCUUCUUCGUUUUAGGGCCUAAUCCACAGUCCAUUGGAGCCGGUGGUUCACAAGCAGAGCUUGGCUAAGGAUGGCCGGGGAGAGUCAGCCAUGGCUGUAAAGUUCUGCUUCUUUUCUGCCUUGGCUGGAACUGGUGGCAAGAUAUUGUCACUAAUGGCCCUGUGGUAGUAGGGGCUAAGACACCUUCUGUGGAAGACAACCCUGCAGCCUCAGCUACCUGCCACGUGUUUCGGAGGCACCGCCUGUGGGGAAGAGAUGGAGGAGCAGUGUCUUGGGACAGACUGAGUUGGCGGGCUUGAUGGAGAAGACGAGGCUGCACAAAUCGCUCUACUCAUAAACACCACCCUGGUCAAGGAUUUCAAUGGACCAACUGGCUGUGUCUGCUGUGGAUGAUUUCCAGUAUAAAUCAGACAGAAGCAGGAGACAGGCAAAGGGAAAAGGAGCGGCUCAAGCAGUGUCGCAGAGGAAACCGGUGCCAGAGCUGAGGACAGCACCCAGCCUUGUGCUGCAGGACUGCGUGUUCUCCCAAAAGACAAUGAAGAGCUGCUCUCUUUUCUGUGAAUUACUGUGUUUCCCCUUUAUGUGGAUCAUAAAACACAGAGCGGCAUCGGCACCCAAGCCUUCCCACUCCGCCCACGUCACCAAACUCCUGCUCUUUAGAGAAAUACCACCCAGAGCCACGUAAGCCUACACUACCCCACAACAGUUCACUUAGGCUAAAAUUUGGUCUUGCUCAGCUUUUAGGGGCAUCAGUUGCUCUUGCAAUCAGUGCUUCCAGCUAGGUGCUAGCUUUUUGCUUGGAGGUUGUUCCUUAGAGCUCAUUCAAGUGUGAUUUCAGAGUUUCUCUAGGCUUUUGCACGUAACGUACCGACUUGAAGGGAAAAAGGAAGAGAGGUAGCUUUCUGAGAGGAAGGUACGUAUGAGCGUUGAUGUUUUGGUAACUCCCUCCCAGGGAAUCUUAUCAGCACUGGGUACUGGUUAAUAUCUCUGCUUGUGUGCCCUUCCUUUUCAGAGCAUAGCAAUUGCAUCAAGUGUUUGCCCCAGCUGCCUAGCAA
rnacentral:lncRNA from 1 species